rnacentral:rRNA from 1 species
GACGAACGCUGGCGGCGUGCCUAAUACAUGCAAGUAGAACGCACAGUUUAUACCGUAGCUUGCUACACCAUACACUGUGAGUUGCGAACGGGUGAGUAACGCGUAGGUAACCUGCCUGGUAGCGGGGGAUAACUAUUGGAAACGAUAGCUAAUACCGCAUAAUAUUGAUUAUUGCAUGAUAAUUGAUUGAAAGAUGCUAUUGCAUCACUACCAGAUGGACCUGCGUUGUAUUAGCUAGUAGGUGAGGUAACGGCUCACCUAGGCGACGAUACAUAGCCGACCUGAGAGGGUGAUCGGCCACACUGGGACUGAGACACGGCCCAGACUCCUACGGGAGGCAGCAGUAGGGAAUCUUCGGCAAUGGACGAAAGUCUGACCGAGCAACGCCGCGUGAGUGAAGAAGGUUUUCGGAUCGUAAAGCUCUGUUGUAAGAGGAGAACGGGUGUGAGAGUGGAAAGUUCACACUGUGACGGUAUCUUACCAGAAAGGGACGGCUAACUACGUG